rnacentral:rRNA from 1 species
AAUCAAUUGAGAUUCCCUCAGUAGCGGCGAGCGAACGGGGAUCAGCCCAUUAAGUUAUGUGUGUUUUAGUGGAACGCUCUGGGAAGUGCGAACGUAGAGGGUGAUAUUCCCGUACACGAAAGGGCACACAUAAUGAUGACGAGUAGGGCGAGGCACGUGAAACCUUGUCUGAAUAUGGGGGGACCAUCCUCCAAGGCUAAAUACUCCUGACUGACCGAUAGUGAACCAGUACCGUGAGGGAAAGGCGAAAAGAACCCCUGUGAGGGGAGUGAAAUAGAUCCUGAAACCGCAUGCAUACAAGCAGUGGGAGCACCUUCGUGGUGUGACUGCGUACCUUUUGUAUAAUGGGUCAGCGACUUAUAUUCAGUAGCGAGGUUAACCGUAUAGGGGAGCCGUAGAGAAAUCGAGUCUUAAUAGGGCGUUUAGUUGCUGGGUAUAGACCCGAAACCAGGCGAUCUAUCCAUGAGCAGGUUGAAGGUUGGGUAACACUAACUGGAGGACCGAACCCACUGUCGUUGAAAAGCCAGGGGAUGACUUGUGGAUAGGGGUGAAAGGCUAAUCAAGCCUGGUGAUAGCUGGUUCUCCCCGAAAGCUAUUUAGGUAGCGCCUCGGACGAAUACCAUAGGGGGUAGAGCACUGUUUCGGCUAGGGGGUCAUCCCGACUUACCAAACCGAUGCAAACUCCGAAUACCUAUGAGUACUAUCCGGGAGACAGACUGCGGGUGCUAACGUCCGUAGUCAAGAGGAAAACAAUCCAGACCGCCAGCUAAGGCCCCAAAAUCAUAGUUAAGUGGGAAACGAUGUGGGAAGGCAUAGACAGCUAGGAGGUUGGCUUAGAAGCAGCCACCCUUUAAAGAAAGCGUAAUAGCUCACUAGUCGAGUCGGCCUGCGCGGAAGAUGUAACGGGGCUAAAACUAUGUGCCGAAGCUGCGGAUGUAUACUUUGUAUACGUGGUAGGGGAGCGUUCUGUAAGCCGAUGAAGGUGUGUUGAGAAGCAUGCUGGAGGUAUCAGAAGUGCGAAUGCUGACGUGAGUAACGACAAAACGGGUGAAAAACCCGUUCGCCGAAAGACCAAGGGUUCCAGUCCAACGUUAAUCGGGGCUGGGUGAGUCGACCCCUAAGGCGAGGCCGAAAGGCGUAGUCGAUGGGAAAAUGGUUAAUAUUCCAUUACUUCUGUGUAAUGCGAUGAGAGGACGGAGAAGGCUAAAUCAGCCUGGCGUUGGUUGUCCAGGUGAAAGGAUGUAGGCAUGUAUCUUAGGCAAAUCCGGGGUACUCUAUGCUGAGAUCUGAUAGCAAGCUGUACUUGUACAGCGAAGUGGUUGAUGCCAUGCUUCCAGGAAAAGUCUCUAAGCUUCAGUUACACAGGAAUCGUACCCGAAACCGACACAGGUGGUCAGGUCGAGUAGACCAAGGCGCUUGAGAGAACUCUGCUGAAGGAACUAGGCAAAAUGGUACCGUAACUUCGGGAGAAGGUACGCUGUUGUUGGUGAUGGAACUCGCUUCCUGAGCUGACGACAGCCGCAGAAACCAGGCCGCUGCAACUGUUUAUUAAAAACAUAGCACUCUGCAAACACGAAAGUGGACGUAUAGGGUGUGAUGCCUGCCCGGUGCUGGAAGGUUAAUUGAUGGGGUUAGCGUAAGCGAAGCUCUUGAUCGAAGCCCCAGUAAACGGCGGCCGUAACUAUAACGGUCCUAAGGUAGCGAAAUUCCUUGUCGGGUAAGUUCCGACCUGCACGAAUGGCAUAAUGAUGGCGGCGCUGUCUCCAGCAGAGGCUCAGUGAAAUCGAAAUCGCUGUGAAGAUGCAGUGUACCCGCGGCUAGACGGAAAGACCCCGUGAACCUUUACUGCAGCUUGACACUGAACUUUGACCUUACUUGUGUAGGAUAGGUGGGAGGCUUUGAAGCUGGAACGCUAGUUCCAGUGGAGCCGUCCUUGAAAUACCACCCUGGUAAUGUUGAGGUUCUAACUCUGUCCCGUGAUCCGGGACGAGGACCGUGUCUGGUGGGUAGUUUGACUGGGGCGGUCUCCUCCUAAAGAGUAACGGAGGAGUACGAAGGUGCGCUCAGCGUGGUCGGAAAUCACGCGUAGAGUAUAAAGGCAAAAGCGCGCUUAACUGCGAGACCCACAAGUCGAGCAGGUACGAAAGUAGGUCUUAGUGAUCCGGUGGUUCUGUAUGGAAGGGCCAUCGCUCAACGGAUAAAAGGUACUCUGGGGAUAACAGGCUGAUACCGCCCAAGAGUUCAUAUCGACGGCGGUGUUUGGCACCUCGAUGUCGGCUCAUCUCAUCCUGGGGCUGAAGCAGGUCCCAAGGGUAUGGCUGUUCGCCAUUUAAAGAGGUACGCGAGCUGGGUUUAGAACGUCGUGAGACAGUUCGGUCCCUAUCUACCGUGGGCGCUGGAAAUUUGAGAGGAUCUGCUCCUAGUACGAGAGGACCAGAGUGGACGAACCUCUGGUGUACCGGUUGUGACGCCAGUCGCAUCGCCGGGUAGCUAUGUUCGGAAGGGAUAACCGCUGAAAGCAUCUAAGCGGGAAGCCUACCUCAAGAUAAGAUUUCCCUAGGACUUUAUGUCCUCUAAAGAGCCGUUCGAGACUAGGACGUUGAUAGGUUGGAUGUGGAAGCAUAGUGAUAUGUGAAGCUGACCAAUACUAAUUGCUCGUGAGGCUUGACUAU